rnacentral:rRNA from 1 species
GGGGGGGGGGGGGGGGGGGGUGGGGGGGGGGGGGGCGGGGGGGAGGGCCCUGCUGGGGGGGGGUGCUCGAGUGGCGGACGGGUGAGUGACACGUGAGUGACCUGCCCUUGACUUUGGGAUAACUUCAGGAAACUGGGGCUAAUACCGGCUAGGAGCUCCUGCUGCAUGGUGGGGGUUGGAAAGUUUCGGCGGUUGGGGAUGGACUCGCGGCUUAUCAGCUUGUUGGUGGGGUAGUGGCUUACCAAGGCUUUGACGGGUAGCCGGCCUGAGAGGGUGACCGGCCACAUUGGGACUGAGAUACGGCCCAGACUCCUACGGGAGGCAGCAGUGGGGAAUAUUGCACAAUGGGCGGAAGCCUGAUGCAGCAACGCCGCGUGCGGGAUGACGGCCUUCGGGUUGUAAACCGCUUUCGCCUGUGACGAAGCGUGAGUGACGGUAAUGGGUAAAGAAGCACCGGCUAACUACGUG